rnacentral:piRNA from 2 species
UGGGCAUGCAUCUGGCAGGAAUAG